rnacentral:rRNA from 1 species
CAGUAGCCGCGGGAAUACGUAGGGUGCAAGCGUUAAUCGGAAUUACUGGGCGUAAAGCGUGCGCAGGCGGUCCGCUAAGACAGAUGUGAAAUCCCCGGGCUUAACCUGGGAACUGCAUUUGUGACUGGCGGGCUAGAGUAUGGCAGAGGGGGGUAGAAUUCCACGUGUAGCAGUGAAAUGCGUAGGGAUGUGGAGGAAUACCGAUGGCGAAGGCAGCCCCCUGGGCCAAUACUGACGCUCAUGCACGAAAGCGUGGGGAGCAAACAGGAUUAGAUACCCGGGUAGUCCCUGUCUCUUAUAC